AUAGCGUAUAUUAAAGUUGUUGCAGUUAAAAAGCUCGUAGUUGAACCUUGGGCCUGGCUGGCCGGUCCGCCUCACCGCGUGUACUGGUCCGGCCGGGCCUUUCCUUCUGGGGAACCUCAUGCCCUUCACUGGGCGUGUUGGGGAACCAGGACUUUUACUUUGAAAAAAUUAGAGUGUUCAAAGCAGGCCUUUGCUCGAAUACAUUAGCAUGGAAUAAUAGAAUAGGACGUGCGGUUCUAUUUUGUUGGUUUCUAGAGUCGCCGUAAUGAUUAAUAGGGAUAGUUGGGGGCAUUGGUAUUGAGUCGCUAGAGGUGAAAUUCUUGGAUUGACUCAAGACCAACUAUUG
rnacentral:rRNA from 1 species